ACUCCAUCCACAUCCACUAAAGAACAAAGGAGGAAAAAAUAUCAAACAAGGUUGCUGGCAGUAGUUGUCAAAAGCCAUCACAGUUUUUGAAAGUGAAGGUACAGAGAGAUUCCAUUAAAGGGAUCGCAUCAAUGAGUACACACAUGUACUAUUGAUUUCGUGCAACCAGAUCAGCUUGAGGAUUUUGGGCACAAAUGCUCUAUACUAACUCCAUAGAGGUAGGGUUUGAUUAAAAAACAAAAAAAACUCCAUAGUUGUAAGAGGUGAACAAGCCAUAGUACAGAUGAAAUCCUUAUCCUUCACAAUUGGUGGCACCUAAUUUCAGAGAUUACAGUUGAGAAAUCUUUUAGAAUUUGAAAUGGUUGACUUCAUUGGUGGUGGUUUUGCGCAGAAUUACAUACCCUGAUCCUCGAUUGUGACUUGGAUGUGCACUGAACACCAAAAGCCCAGAGCCAAAGAUCCAGCUCCACGCUAAGCACCUGCAAAAGAUAGUUCCAGAUUCAAGUCUAAGAAAUGGUGAAAGGAAAAAUAACUACAGUGAAGAGAAAGACAAAAGACUAUUCAGUUUUAGUUAAGAUAUGAAUAAGAGUCUAUUUGGUUUUACCGUUACAAAGGAGUAAAACAUGAAAAUAAAGCAAAUUUUUCCAGCUACUACAUUACCGAAUUCUCCAGCAUAUAAUAUAUAUAUAUAUAUAUAUAUAUAUAUAUAUGUGUGUGUUAGACACAUCAAAUGAGAGAUGUUAAUGGUGCCAAUUUCAUUAUAUCUUCUCUAAUGUUCUUAAUGUGCUCUGAGCAUGCACAGAAAAGCAAAAUCAUAAAUCGCAACAGAAUGUUUAUUGAGAGAAAUAUAUCAGGAAAUUAUGUCAGCAGUUUACCAUUA